rnacentral:rRNA from 1 species
UACGUAGGGGGCAAGCGUUGUCCGGAAUCAUUGGGCGUAAAGAGCGUGUAGGCGGCCAGGUAGGUCUGCUGUGAAAACUCGAGGCUCAACCUCGAGACGUCGGCGGAAACCAUCUGGCUAGAGUCCGGAAGAGGAGAGUGGAAUUCCUGGUGUAGCGGUGAAAUGCGCAGAUAUCAGGAAGAACACCCGUGGCGAAGGCGGCCUGCUGGGCUGUUGCUGACGCUGAGGCGCGAAAGCGUGGGGAGCAAACAGG